CUUUGUGCCAGUUAAACAGCUAUAUGCCACGUAUAGCUAAAUGGAGGAUCAUUGGUUUAGAACUGAUAGAUACCACUCACUCCCCCUCCCAUCAUGUAUCCAAAAUUCUGUAAUGAUGACACUACAUUCUGUAGGGAGGUUUAAACAAGAGCCCCCUUUCUCUGUUAACCAAUUGGUGAAUGUAUACUGUAUGUUUAAACUGUGACGUAUUUUUGCUUUAAGAAGGAGCCCCCACUCCGGGGAAUAAAGCAUUCCUGAGUUUUUCACUGAUCAGAAACUUUGUCUCCGGUGUGAAUUACUUCUAUGGAAAGCGUGCACGCAUUAAUCAAUCAAUUUGGAAGGUGUAGAUAGACAAAUUAUCAAAGUUUUCUUUGGUCCAAAUCAGUUGGCGCACUUCCGAACAGGGACGAGAGGGUUGUUGUUAUUCUGCUCGAAGCCGUAAAAUCCCAGGACCGGAGAGGAGACCCCCAGAGAUUGAAAAAAAAAAAAAAAAGAGCCUGAUCACCUCUGCAUAUGGUAAAUGAGUAACUUACCUAUAUUUUCCAUUCUUUGGAAUUGGUCUGCACUCUGGGCCUUCACUCGGCUUCCUGUGGUUAACGUCAGACAGGUAUAUAGUAUGCCCACAUGUCCCCUUUUAUAUAGAACCUGUCACUUGUCUAUCUACAGCCUGAGUCCUGAGUGUGAGUUUUAUGUGUGAAAGUGUCUGUUUGAGAAUCUGUUUUACUUUCUUGUGAUUAUUUAAUUCAGGGUGCAAAUAUACCUGGAGUUUUUAGGCCAGAUUAUAUUAAUUAAUAUUUUAAUAUUAAUUCUUGGCGCUUCCUUUGUUGUUUUUCAUUUAAAUUCAGGUGUGCAGAAUAGCCCCUGGUGGUUAGUUUUUGUCCGAUUAAGAAUAGAUCGUGGCGUUUCCUUUGUUGUUUUUCAUUUAAAUUCAGGUGUGCAGAAUAGCCCCUGGUGGUUAGUUUUUGUCCAAUUAAGAAUAGAUCGUGGCGUUUCCUUUGUUGUUUUUCAUUUAAAUUCAGGUGUGCAGAAUAGCCCCUGGUGGUUAGUUUUUGUCCGAUUAAGAAUAGAUCGUGGCGUUUCCUUUGUUGUUUUUCCUUUAAGUUCAGGCGUGCAGAAUAGCCCCUGGAGGUUUAGUUUUUUGUCCGAUUCAUAUUAAAAAUAGAUCGUGGCGAUUCUUUUGUUGUUUUAAUAAAAAACAACGAACAAAGAGUGAAGUUGUUGUAUAUGUGCUUGAGUGUUUCUGUGUGUGAUUUGAUUUAUUAUAAGCCGGCAUUUAUUUUAAGAACUUUGUGAUUUAAUUACAUCUGUAUUUUGUGCUUUUGUCUGUGUAUGUCUUGUUAGGUACCAUAUAUGUUAAUUGUAAUCUAUACAAUUUGUAUCGUUACUCUCCUAUUCUAUCUUUUGUCCUAAGGAGAGCUGUGCUUAGGCAAUCACAUGGUUAAAAAACUUUGUGCUUGCAAGUCUUCCUCCCUCCUCCCCCCUCCUUCUUUGUUGCUUUCUCUUGCUCUGACUGCUAUGAGUAUUGGCUACAGGGGGGGUGAAUGGGUGAAAUGCUUGUAAACUCAGUGAGGAAUGUGAGGGAAACAAGGUAUAUUUGCUGGACGAAUAACCUAGUUAGGAACUUUGUGUAAUCUUGUAUAUGUUGUUAAGUAAGAGGUUAUUGGCAUGUUGGAAUAAGGAAAGUUAGAUUUUGUUGGAACAAAUGAAUUGUGGAAUUCAUAAAUGAUAUUGCAGAGAAAAGUAAAUUGCAGUUUGCAUAUAAUAGCAGCUAUUCAGAUGCUGUAUUGUGGCAAUCUUUAUACACACAAUGUGAAAUUGCCAAUAGUGAAAUUGACAAGAAAUUGUUUGUUAAUAAGAAAAAACAAAAGAUCAGAAAUGUUAUGAAACUAGUCUGUACUUACAGUGCAUUGAUUUGUAAACGUAAUGCAGGUCAAGACAAUUUAGAAUCAUCAGAAAAAGAAGUAGAUUUGAAUGGGUUAACAGAAGACAAAUCAGAUUUAAAUGAACAGUGUAACAAUGUAACAGGGAGCACAUGCUGUAAACAGUCAGAAACAGUCUGUGAAUUAGAGGAUAGAGUUGAACUAAGAAAUGAUCUUAUUUGCCAGCUUAGAAAUGAAGUUAAGCAAGUGUGUGUUAAUACAAGAAAAAUACAGACACAGAAUCUAAUCCCAGAACCAAUAGAUACUGAAAAUGUAUCCUCACAGAGUGAUUUGCAGAAAAUAUAAAUUUCAAGACAGAGCUGCAAAACUUAAUUUGAAAAUACAUGAACAAUUAAUGAAAAUUGUGAAAUGUAUUCCAGUUUAUGACACGUCAGUGGAUGCAUUUACUAAUGCUGGAAUGUUUGAGUCAAAUGUGGACAAAUACAGCCUAAAUGACGAACAAAGGAAUAGAUUGUUUAAAAUAUGGCUGCCGACUCAAAUGGCAUGUAGACUGACCACGCUUGUAAAAUUUGAGGACAAUGAUAAAAUAAUAUAUGGAAAUUAGGAGACAGACAAGCAAUGCAGCGUAACACAGAAAGUUAUAAGAAUCAGAUAACUUCAAGAGAUAUGAUCAGUUUAGGGAAUGAGCAUGGAUAUGUCUGCCAACAGAUGUACACAGGCUGAUUCCAGAAUUAAGAACAGCACAAGAAUAGAGAUCUAUGUCAGUUUAUUGUUUUAAAUGAAUUGUUAGUCUGUACUGUCUUUCAUUGUUUUUAUAUGUGUUAUAAGAAAGUAUUAGGUUAAUUAAAAUAAAAAUUUAAAUCAAGUUUGCACAUAUGGCAGAAUGAGAUACACUAAUGUAGCAGUGAGGAACAUGCAAUGUUAUGUUGGGUGUAUGCAAUUAUAUAGUAACUCCAAUCAUUUUACAGAAGAAAAAACAAUAGAUUUAUUCUUUGUUGCUUCUGAGGUUGAUUUAAAAUCUUUGAUUUAAUUCAUGAGAAUGAGAUUUUAAUAUCAUGACUGAUAAUGGAUUACUGUAUAUUGCAACGCCUGGACAUACACAUGGUUUGGAUAUACUGAAGACAAAAGGAAUAAUAUAUGGGAAUGGAUAAGGCUGAUUUACCCCUAUCCACAGCUACGCCUACUCCUAAAGUAACAUCGCGUACAUCCUUACUAUGCCCUUUUACUGUAGAAUUUCCCGAAUCCUAAUGACCAAUUCCACUACAUGGUGUGACUUGUUUAAGCCUAAGAUAAAUUGGCUGAUCAGGCUACCUGUAUUAACAAUGUCAUCAACGAUGAGUUAGCAUCUGUGGAGAAGUAUCACUUCAGGUUGUCCCAAAUUUUCUUUUAACUUAAGUUUUAGUACAUAGUAAGGCCCAUGCCCAACAACUAUAUGCAGCCUUGUAUAGCAGGCCACAUGACAUCUAUUUGUACCAAGCAAGGCCUGCCUGACUCCUCAUUCCUGUCUAACAUUGUUGUCUCCUGCAUAAGUGUAGAUGGCUCUCUUUGGAGUAGCCUGUUAACUAAGCCUUGCUUUGUGGUUACUUUCACCUGUCCAAUUAAUCUGCUAGGUGCAGAUGUCCUUCCCCCACUUGCAGGCCCCUAUCACCUUAUUAUUUAUUUUGUUCCACACAGUGAAACCUGACCAAGAGGCAAGGGUCCUAGCUAGUUCCCCCAAUACCUUUACCUGAAUUAUACAGGCCCCAAAGCCUGUCCAAGCUCUUACUAUUCCCUAACAGGUUAAGGCUCUGGUGUCGAAUGGUGCCCUGGUUACCUGAGACUUUCCAUGCAAUAUCCCACCUCUCCUUGUGAUGGACGAAUUCUGUGCAGGAUAAUGUCACCCUGCAGGGAUGAUACUCUAUUUACCUGGCCACUCUUUUGCCACUUCCCAAGGGGGGAAAUGAUAAGACACUGACUAUUAUUUUUUUUUAGCAUUUUUCUUAUGAUCUGUUCCGGAUUUGCUGUCACUACAGUGGACCAGGUAUCUCACCUCAACAAUGUCUGCACAAGAAGUUGAGCUAUAGGCUCCCAUCACAGCAUGCAAGAUCUCUGAAGGAAGACUGAUCUCGGAGAAAGCAUGUGGCAACUCUCUGGCUGACUAAGUUGUUCAAUAAGUUGUAAGUGCACUAAGGAAAGUGGACAGAAAAGUGUCUACUGAAGAAACUCCCAUAUUCACCAUGUAAGAUCCUACCCACAGACCUCAAGCUACUGACCCUGGAAAGAAAGAAAAAACAAACAAACCACAAGCUGGAAACAGAAAGGGGCAACUCUUAAAGACAGGCUGUACUUCAACAAUCUCAAGUUCUACUUGCCCAAGAACAUAUACUCAGCAGUGGGCCUACGGAGCAUCUGUCCAGAACCCUCAUGAACUCUUUUGAUCAAUAAAUACUCUGAAGUAUCAGGAAUUGCCUCUCUGACCAACAGUUACUGUAAAUCUUGUGCCAUUUGUGCCAAGGGCAACUCAGGAAGAAUGGAGCCAAAGCAUCUAGCCAAACCUCAUUAUCUCUUCCAGAGGAGUCAAGUCGACUACAUCCAGAAUGCCAAAGAAUGGCUGAUUCAACUAUGCACUAAUUAUAGCAGACAUGUUUUCAGGAUGGCCAGAGGCCUAUCCAGCCAUCAAAGUGAUAACCAAGACCACAUGCUGAGUAGUGCACUGUGAAAGUUACAGAGAUCACCCCGUGGAUUCAUCAUUCCAGAAUCAAGCCUGCCUCUGCAUUAUGUGAAGUAGCAUUUGUUGAUCUUGACAACCCUUUUUGAAACUCCAUUCUUAGAGAACAAAGAUACUUGUUGAAAAUAAAUAAAUAAAUAAAUAAAUAUCAACAAGUGGGUGUUUUGAUGGCCAUAAUAAUGCCUGACCACCUGCCAUCGAUGGAAAGCCGAAUACCCCAAAAGGGGACCUCGUGAAACUAAAGAGAAACAAACAUACUCCUUACCCUGCAGCCCUCAUGUCUGAGGUGCCAUACGCACAGUCAAAGCUUCUUCAGGAUCAUCUGCUUAUCUUGAGUUUGUGGUGAUAUUAAUAUUGAAUGUUUAAAUGAUCUGAAUCUGCCAGUACUAGGGUAGCAUGAGACAAGAUUUCUAAGAAUAAGUAAAUGUGCCCUAGCCUAGGUUAUUAUGUCCAUACACAUAACACAUGACAAUCCCCAAGGUACUCUUGACACACCUCAUUCAUGCUUCAGGACAAAAAGGAGUACCCCUAUAAAGGGUGGUUUUACCCACACAUAUAUAUAUGUAUAUUAAUGCCAUAGGGGUGUCAAGGGGGGUACCAAAUGAUUUUAAGGUAAGAAACUAAGUUUGAAUCUAUUCUCCCAAGCAUUACGGCUAAUAAAAUCUGAAUUGGAAGGGAAGAGGUUUAUACAAUAAACAGGAGACCUUUUUCUUACAGGACAUGUAUGACUCAGCUGAAUGGGUAGGUGCCACGCACAUGACUGUUAAUCACCUCAAACCACACAUUAGGACUUUAAAAGACAUGGUAGUCAUCCCAUAUUUGAGGAUAAGAGGGCUGUAGAGACAGGUUUCUCUGACACUAACUUGUGACUUGAAUGGAUGAAAUACAAUGCUACUAAACAUAACAAGUCUAACUGCUAUGUCUGCAGAGGAGCGAGGCCUCACCCAGGUACAGUAUCCCUGAACCUUCCUCCGGAUAUGAAGUAUGCGUUUUAAGUCUCUACACUGUAUUUAAACCUAAGCGGUCAGCAUGCGAGUCAUGGAAACUUAAUACCCAAUCAUUACUAAAAAUAUUAUGCCCAAACGAAGGCAUUACUAUAUAUCCUGGGAACUAUACUUGUUAUGGGAUAUAUGGUGGGAUAGGGCGGUUACAAGCUACCUCUCAGAUGACCUUCCAGAAUAGAAUAAGCUUUAAAAUGAUUUUGGCAGAAAAAGGGAGAGUAUGUAAAAUACUCCCAGACACCAUAACAUGCUGUACCUAUAUUCCAGACAAUACAGGCCCUAAUGGUAAGGUAACGUUGGCAAUAGAAAAGUUAAAGAGUUUGUCCAAUGAGCUGAAACGAAAUUCUGGGGCCACAGAUCCAUGGGAAAGAUGGUUUGGAUGGAUGACUGGAUGGCAAGGUGCUCUGGCCCAAAUAGGUGUUGCCAUUUUAAUAACGAUAAUCAUCCUCGCUCUUCUUGUUUGUUGUGUGUUACCCUGUCUUAAGAAAUGCCUACAAAAGACAGUUGAUCAGACAAUCGACCAGACCACCCCGACCUUCCUUCACCAAGAGAUUGACGACAUCGACCGUGAUACACCACAUACACCCUUACAGUCCCACCGCACUAAAUCAACAGCUACUUCCUCUUAAGGACAUUUAGGGAUAGCGUCUGUCUCUACGGGCAGAAGUCUGCCGCGGGAGAAGUAGUGGACAAGCUGCUAUGGGGUACCCGCGCAGUGAAGUGUUCGAGGCCUGUUCAGACAGAUGUGCAAGAUAGCCUUUUGUUAUUUUUCUAUAGGGACAGUAUUAGAAUGAGAGAUAGUAGUUUUAGUAAAAUUGCCAUUUUAAGGGGGGACUGUUAUGGACAGAUGAAUUAAAAUAAAAUGGCUAUUUACUAAUGUCUAUUUAUUCUGUGUUCACUAUGUUAAAACUGGCUGCUAGAGUAAAUAUUCCCUUCGCCCCCUACAAUGUGUUCAGUUGCUGUUUACUAUGUAAAUUCUUCAUCCUGAUAAGCAUCCCCCUUCAAAUCAAGCAAACCUUGUGUAAACAAAAUUCCUGUGUUAACAGCUCCCUUUACUAACUCCUCCCCCACUACCUUUGUGCCAGUUAAACAGCUAUAUGCCACGUAUAGCUAAAUGGAGGAUCAUUGGUUUAGAACUGAUAGAUACCACUCACUCCCCCUCCCAUCGUGUAUCCAAAAGUCUGUAAUGAUGACACUACAUUCUGUAGGGAGGUUUAAACAAGAGCCCCCUUUCUCUGUUAACCAAUUGGUGAAUGUAUACUGUAUGUUUAAACUGUGACGUAUUUUUGCUUUAAGAAGGAGCCCCCACUCCGGGGAAUAAAGCAUUCCUGAGUUUUUCACUGAUCAGAAACUUUGUCUCCGGUGUGAAUUACUUCUAGGGAAAGCGUGCACGCAUUAAUCAAUCAAUUUGGAAGGUGUAGAUAGACAAAUUAUCAAAGUUUUCUUUGGUCCAAAUCAGGGUGUCUUAACAACGCAUAAGAAUGUGUCCUACGUCUGCCUCUAUCCAAGAUAGCAGCCAUUCGGAAGGAGAUAAGGAGGAUCCUUUGUCAUCAUGCUAGACAUCAUGCGUUCAGCUUACUGGUCACGAGAACAUACUUUUUGCCAAUUUAUUUUUAAAAUAUAUAAUAUUAUGCUUCUUUUGCUUUGCUGUUGGAGCGUUAAAACAGCAAAUAUGAAACCUUCUGUCAUGUUAUAAAAUUGUAGAUUAUACUAGCUUUAGUGUAACUAUAAUCUUAAUUUUAUUAAUGACAGGAGGCGAAAAUUUCCCUGCCAGUUUCUCCCUUCCCUUAUCGUUGUUUGUUUUUAUUGACAUAUUUUUAGUGUUAGUCUAUUCUCAAGGAAGGUGGUAGACAGGUCUGGUAUUGUCUAUUUAGAGGAAGUCAGAGUGUGUUUUCUGGGAUGUUGUACUGUUAGUAAUUGAUUAUGGGUUUUCAUGUUUUUCCCAGUACAUUUCAUUCACUAAUCAGAGUUUCGAUUCUGUUUAUCUCGUUUCAGUUUAAUGGUUCCACUACAGGUCCGGUUUCCAGAUGUUCUGCAGGAUACAGUUCAAGGCUUCCUCUGCGGAUCCACUUUCGUUACGAGUUCGGAUGACAGUCAUUGACGAAUUUCGUUUGAUUCUUCUUCUAUUGUUAUUGUAUUAUAUCUUGUUCACGUACUUAGUUUUGUCGCAGGUUGAAAGAGGAAAUAGUUGGUUGGGAGGGGCCUUAUAUGGUUUCCUUACUUUUUUGUGAUUGUUUUUUUUCUCUCUAUGUUAAUGUGCUGCUGUGGAGUUCUAGUAAAGAGAGACUUAAG
rnacentral:lncRNA from 1 species